AAUAAACAUAGCGGUGGGUUUCAGGGCCCAACUUUAACCAUCCGUCUUAUUUGAAAUAUUUUUAUAAUUAGUAUUUUUAUUGUUAUUAGAUGAUAAAUAUGAAUAUUACUUUAUGUGUGAUUUAAAUUUUAAAUUUUUGUUUAUAAAUUUUUCAAAUAAGAUAAACGGUCAAAUGUUGGGUAAAAAACUUAUGGCAACAUUUAUA
rfam:Oryza glaberrima chromosome 6 Oglab06_0194_19, whole genome shotgun sequence.